ncrna:unclassified sequences RT-4 RNA
UACACCGCUGACCUUUGAAACAAGGUUUACUCACCAUUACUGGGAAGAUGAGUGGAAAUGAGUCCGACCCAGUACGCACGGUAAAGCGGUCGCACCUGCCGUGCGUAGGAGAUAGAA